UUAAUAUAGCAUAAGAAGUGUGUUUGUUUUAAGAGCAAAAGAUAGAGGUUAACUAA
rnacentral:tRNA from 1 species